rnacentral:rRNA from 1 species
UCCCUACGGGAGGCAGCAGUGGGGAAUAUUGCACAAUGGGCGAAAGCCUGAUGCAGCAACGCCGCGUGAACGAAGAAGGCUCUUGGGUCGUAAAGUUCUGUUCUGAGGGAAGAAGAAAGUGACGGUACCUCAGGAGAAAGCCCCGGCUAACUACGUGCCAGCAGCCGCGGUAAUACGUAGGGGGCAAGCGUUAUCCGGAUUUACUGGGUGUAAAGGGAGCGUAGACGGUGAUGCAAGUCAGAAGUGAAAGCCCGCGGCUCAACUGCGGGACUGCUUUUGAAACUGUAUGACUGGAGUGCAGGAGG